GCGGCAGCGGCGGGGCAGCGAGGGGAGCGCGGGCCGGGCCCGCCGGGACUGCGGGCAGGGACGGGAGGAAGGGUCGGUGUCGUAGUGCGGCGAUUGAAGGCCGAAAGCCGGGACGAAGGAAACUUCUCUGGGCAUCAGGUGAUGUUCCAAAGUCGACUCAUGAGUAAUCUCUGAGUAGCUUUAAGCGGAAUGAGGCUGCUGGACCAGCCUUAUCGGAGUCCAGAGUCCUGCGGGAGGGCAGGGGGCCGAGGAGCCGCCGGAGCCUUUGCACAGCUUCCGCUGCGUGGGAAGGAUGUAACGGGGCUGGUGCUUCCUUUAGAGAGCCUUUGUGGAGCUGAGAGUUUGCUUUACCGAGAUCUAAAGCUAAAAUAAUGGGGCGACAGUAGAAGAUAGUAGAAACACACUGAAGAGUGUUGUUUUAAAUCAUUUGUUGGAAAUGGCUACUACAAAGUAUUAUUAAAAGGGUGGCAUCAGAUUUCGUGUUACUUUGUGUAAUAAAUAAAGCUUUAUCUCCUUGCUUCACAGAAUAUCUUUGAGGCAGAAUAUCUUUUUGCACAGAAUUCAGAACCCAGUCCUCCAGUUAGGCUAUCCUAAAAUAUUACUUUUGUAACUGAAACAGCACUGUAAAGUUAGGGGAAAACAAUAAACAGUUUUUUUUCUUAAUACACGAAGAGAAAAUGUAUCGAAAUGUUUUUUCAGAUGGGAAGUAAAGAAUUUCAGACAGUAAGGGUGGAUGCGGCCGAGCACGGUACGUUUCGUUCGGCAGCGCCGGUCAGUGCGGAGAGCGGUCCCGCUGGGAAAGUCCCGGUGCAGCCGGGCCGAAGGCGGUCCCGGCAGUCCCGUGGCCUGGCACAGCUCAGCAGGCUCUCAGCUUUUCUGUUGUCCUCUCGGAGUUCCGGAGCUCCCGCCCGGGUGUGGAGGAUCCCGAGCUUGUCCUGCCGGGCCGCCCGCGGAGAAGGCUGGGUGGGAGCAGGGGUGGCGUGUCUGGGACCAAACAGUCACUGCCGGGGAAGGGACGGAGCUUUAACAGCGCUCACUGAGUGCCUCCCCCUGAGCCCAAGACCGCAGCUUUUGCUGGCACUUGAGCACAGCACUGGGAUGCGUUCGGUGCAUUUUUCAAACAGGAGUUCUGUAACCAAAUAGAGAAAUUUGACCAGAGGGCUUUGAGCACUGACCAGCACAUUCCGAGCCUAACGAUUCAUGUUUAUGGUUUAAAACCGAGGCUGCAGCUUUGAUUCAGCUGCAUAUUGGUCUUUCUUGCCACUGCCUUGCUGGGUCGUUUUUUAAAACUCGAGAGAAGGACUUGAGGAGUUCACUAUUGGACAAGUAAUUAAAAGAGGUCACUGGAUUUGAUGCUUAUUUGAGCUGACAGAGUAGAAGGGUGUUGCAUGACUGGCAGAUUAGCAGUCCUCUAUGAGAUAAUAAUUCUCUGUGGGUUCAUACCUGCUGCUAACUGCUGCCUUAUUUGCCCAGCGUGGAUUCUGAGCGAGUUCAGACAGGUGAGGGGGUUUGGUAAUGGUGUGCAACCUACAAAACAAAAAUUUUAAAGAUCUUUGUCUAAGCUGAUGAUGAGAGGCUGUGGGCACUGCCUGCAUCCCAAGAGGUCCAGCAGUUGAGAUGCCAUUAUAUGAGUUCCUCUGUCAUGAGCUGUUUGAUGAGCAGUUCUUGUUCCUUUCCCCAUGAAAAGCAGGUAAAUUCAGGGUGGAUUUUUCAUUUCAGCCUUCUUACACUGUAAGAACAUUACUUCUGGGGCAGCCACAGCAGGGAGGGCAGCUGGCCAGGCAUGUCAGCAUCUCAGCAGGACUCAGGUAUUGGCAUCCUGGUGAAUGUAAUGAGGGGAAUAGAACAGACCUCUAGAGAAAGUUCUUAUUGCCUGCAUGCAGGUUUUUUAAGAAGUGAAGAAAAAGAGCUUGUAGCAACCAUAAUUUUCCCUUCCUGGAGAGGAACCUCUCUUGCCGCACAUUUUUUGUUUUGGACUGAAGGGUGGUACUACCCAGGGCAUCAGGCUGUAGAACAUUUCAGUGUCUGGGAUUUUUUAGGGAGCAGCUCAGCUGUUCAGCUGGGUACAUGCUUCCAUAGAAUCAUGGUUGCUCAGUCAGAGAACAUCGUUAUUCCUUUCAAGUGUUUUGAGGGAUAAAAUUAAAUUUUACUGGAAGAGCUAGUGGGUUACCUCCCUUAUCCUGAGGGAAGAGCACUGAAGCAGAUGUGGUAAGUCUGUGUUUGCUCUGUCUCUCUGCAGGGGUGAAGGUUACACAGGAGGAGGUGGGAAGGGGAGCAGAGUUCCACCCUGGCUGCAGGAGCUGCCGGGCUGGGAGCUGUGCUGCUCCUGCCCAGCUCCACCAGUGCCAAACCAACUCUCCCCACAGUUCUGUGAACACACGUGUUGAGUGUGAAAAACAAUUUUGUCUUGGUCUGAUGGAGUUUCUUUUGAAACCAUGUUGUCAAUUCAGCUUGUUGCUGUUUAAAAUUAAGUAUUUACUGGUGGUAAUUUCUAAUGCUCCUGGUGAAUUGAGAAGUAGCUCCCCUGUGCUCCUUGUUGCAUUUCUUUGAAUUUUGAUAGGAUUUUGACUAACUGCUUUCAGCAUCUUCCUAUACAGAUGGCAUCAUUUUUGUUGUGUAGGAGUUUCCUGUGCCAGCCAGAGAAAGACUAAAUGAUAUUUUAAAUAGGGAAACAAAAAGAGUUGGCACAAGGCUCACGGAGGAAGGAGUAUGUUUUGAGUGUUUUCACUGAUCUUAAAUUUGCCUUUUUCCAAUUAGCUGGGGUUUUUUUAAAUAUGCAGUUGUUAAAAUUCAGCUUAAACAACAUGCAUGCAGGUCUUAGAACUUCCUGACACACAGAAUACCAUAUAGAAGCUUUCUUCUUGAGAAAAAUACUCUAAUGCAGGCUCUCCAGAGAUGUUUCUAGGGAGUAUCUGUAAUAUUUGGAGUUGAAGGCCCAUCAAAAUACACAAUUACUGCGUGAAUAUUCUCCUUUUGUGGCCUGACUGUGCUGCCAUUAGCUAGUUAAUUCUGGCUUUCCCUGCUGGUCCUCCCACUCCUCCUGCCUUAUCCCCAUUACAGUACAAGCCUUUCCCACAAUCAGAACAACAGUUCUCUUUUUGAUCUACUCUGUUAGCCACACAGUUUUCAUGGUGCUUAGGCAGCUUUGGAAACAAGGAGGGGGUUUUUGUUUGUUUUCAAGCCAGAUUUAGCAGAAAGCAGAAGUGAAAUGGAGCCACUAGAGAGUCAGCCCUGAAGACAGUCAGUAUUUGGUUUAAUCUUGAGGUGAGAUGUAGCUGUCUGACUUCCACUUUUUGAACCAGGACUCCCUUGACACUCCAAACCCAGUCACAGGAGAUUGAGAAAAUCUAUGUUUGAGGUGUGUUCUAUAGGGUUAGACGGAAUUUUCUCUGUAUAUUUAGAAUGAUUAGAUAGAAACACUGCAGCCUUUGGUCCUUAAAAAUCAAACCAGCUUCCUUUAGUCCUGUUUUGUAUUUUAGUUCCACUGGACAUAAAAACUGUGAUAGUACUGAAGGUCACAUAAUAGACACAUAACACUUCUUUUAUACCCAGUUCUCAAGCUGGCCCUAAAACUGGCUUAUUUUGUAUGUAUCCUGUUAUUUGUAGAAGAAUGUCCAUUACCUGUUCCUUUCAGUGAGUGUUUUGAGAUGGAAGGAGACCUCUGCAGAGGUAUGUUUAUGUCUGGGAAGGGUUGUAAAAUAGGACAUUCCUUUCCGUUCUGUUUUGUUCUGUACAAGCUGGACACUAAGAGCAGGAAAGGAUUUUUGGUGCCCAACAGUCCAGGACUCCAGCAGCAGCUGCUGCAGUGCAGAAUUGAAGCUGGGAGUUAUCUCCUCCUCCUCCUCCUCCUCUCCGCCCCGCUCCUCCUCCCAGCCUGGCAGUCAGGCUGGGAUGAGCUGUGCAAGGCCAGCUGGCUGCUCCUCUCACUAGAGCAUCGCUGCCCCGCAGCCUGGGACACACUGCAGGGUGUUUUUGGGGCGUUGGGUUUCAAUGGCCACCCGGACUAGCAAGAAGCAAGGACUGCUCAUAUGGACAGCUCAUUUUUAUCGUGUGCAGAGUCGGCUUUGUAGUGGGAUGUUGAAAUAUGACACAAUGCCUGUUUGUU